ensembl:lncRNA
AGGGGAUGUGAGCUGCUGAUGGGGAUUCCCAGGAGCUGUGGGAGCUCUGGUGCAUGGAUUGCCUUCUUGUAGUGCCAUGUGAAGGAGAGGAGGCUUUGCUUAGUGAAGCAGGAUGGGUCCGGUGGGAAAUAGGACUCGGAAGCGCAGGAUGGAAGCUCACCCCACCUGCUGGUGCUGCGCAGCAAAGCUCACAGCCUGGGCCCAUUGGUCACAAACUCAGCUCCACAUUUCACCCUUCCUCCGUACAACGGACACCUGACCUGGAAGGCACCGUCAGCUUCUAGGCUGUUUUACACAUGGCAGUGCAUCCCUCUUGGGAGAAGACUGAUGGCACGGCGAGCAGAAGGCACACACGGGG